UACGGAGGGUGCAAGCGUUAAUCGGAAUUACUGGGCGUAAAGGGUGCGUAGGCGGUUGUUUAAGUCUGUUGUGAAAUCCCCGGGCUCAACCUGGGAAUGGCAAUGGAAACUGGCGGGCUGGAGUAUGGCAGAGGGGGGUGGAAUUCCGCGUGUAGCAGUGAAAUGCGUAGAGAUGCGGAGGAACACCGAUGGCGAAGGCAGCCCCCUGGGCCAAUACUGACGCUCAGGCACGAAAGCGUGGGGAGCAAACAGG
rnacentral:rRNA from 1 species